CUGGGAUUCGAACCCACGGGCGGGCUGGUAACCCGCCAAGGGAUUUCRARUCCCCCGCCUUCGUCCGCUCGGCCACCCCUCCUUCUAAUAUAUUAUCCACC
rnacentral:misc_RNA from 1 species